AACUCCUACGGGAGGCAGCAGUGGGGGAUAUUGCACAAUGGAGGAAACUCUGAUGCAGCGACGCCGCGUGAGGGAAGACGGUCUUCGGAUUGUAAACCUCUGUCUUUGGGGAAGAAAAUGACGGUACCCAAAGAGGAAGCUCCGGCUAACUACGUGCCAGCAGCCGCGGUAAUACGUAGGUGGCAAGCGUUAUCCGGAUUUAUUGGGUGUAAAGGGCGUGUAGGCGGGAGCGCAAGUCAGAUGUGAAAACUCAGGGCUCAACCCUGAGCCUGCAUUUGAAACUGUGUUUCUUGAGUGCUGGAGAG
rnacentral:rRNA from 1 species